UACGAAGGGGGCUAGCGUUGUUCGGAAUUACUGGGCGUAAAGCGCACGUAGGCGGUUCGUUAUGUCGGAUGUGAAAGCCCUUGGCUUAACCGAGGAAGUGCAUCCGAAACUGGCGAGCUAGAGUACGAAAGAGGAUCGCGGAAUUCCCGGUGUAGAGGUGAAAUUCGUAGAUAUCGGGAGGAACACCGGUGGCGAAGGCGGUUCUCUGGGCCUGUACUGACGCUGAGGAGCGAAAGCGUGGGGAGCGAACAGG
rnacentral:rRNA from 1 species